rnacentral:lncRNA from 1 species
UGCACCUGUUCGUGUUGGAUUUUGCAUUGCAUAUUGCACAUGUUCCCAUUCUAUUACCAUAGUUGUUGUAACUACCCAAAAAUUCCAUAUAUAUUAUGAUAUAUAUAUAUAUAUAUAGCUUUUAAUGUUGAUUUGGAGACACUAGUUAACAAGACUCAUAUUUAUAAAAUAAAUUAUUUGAUAUAUCAGUCUUGUUAACCAGUGCCUCCGGGGCACUAGUUAAGCAGAUGAAAAUGGAAAGAAAAAACAAAGUCAACAUUAAAAGCAACACUUUUUCAAAUUUCAAAAAGUAAAAUACACAAUUUUCAAAAUAAACAUUUCCUUUUACAAUUCCUUAACUAGUGCCCCGGUUAACAUUUCCCUAUAAAUAUUUGUAAUUAAAUCUAAUUGUUUAUACUCUAUGAUUUAAUAGUGGUUACACAUUUUUGGUUUUUAAUGAUAAAACAUUGUUUUUAUAAAUCAUUUAAGAUUUUUGUAUAAUUUAAUUAUAAUCAUUUAAG